rnacentral:rRNA from 1 species
CCUGAAUUCGAAUGGGGUAUGGAUUCAAGUCCUUGCCGGUCGCGAAACGGACUGCCUCCCACCAGAUGUUGCUGGUCGCCCGCUGCGAUUCAUUUCGUUUGCGGUGUCGUUCCCGGCGAUCACUCGGUUGGGUUGGCGAGUUAUUCCGGCGACGGAGGAGUGCACUUCCCCCCUAGUAGAAACGUCGCGACCCGUUGGGUGCCGGUCUAAGGCCCGGGAUGGCAGACCAUGUGUCCUGUGGGUUCUCCACAGGCGUGUGGACUCUUGGUGACCCGGCCGGCUGCCCGACGGUAUGACCAGAGGAGUCGAUCCGCUGAAUGGGAAUCACUGUGGUUGUGAAGCGUCCGGCCUGGUGCCGAUGCGUGCGGGGAUUGAGGUGUAAACCGGGGGUGACCGUGCGAAGCACGGCCCCGGCCCUGCUGCGUAUUCGGUGCUGGUGUCCUCGGACUGGAUCAGUUCUCCCGUCUGCGACGCCCACCUUCGGAUGGUCUCCCG